GUGUCAGCCGCCGCGGUAAAACCAGCACCUCAAGUGGUCAGGAGGAUUAUUGGGCCUAAAGCAUCCGUAGCCUGCCGUGUAAGUUUUCGGUUAAAUCUAUGCGCUCAACGCAUAGGCUGCCGGAAAUACUGCACGGCUAGGGAGUGGGAGAGGUAGACGGUACUCGGUAGGAAGGGGUAAAAUCCUUUGAUCUAUCGAUGACCCCCUGUGGCGAAGGCGGUCUACUAGAACACGUCCGACGGUGAGGGAUGAAAGCUGGGGGAGCAAACCGGAUUAGAUACCCGGGUAGUCC
rnacentral:rRNA from 1 species